GAGGAAAGAACGGAGAAUAAAUUUCUUACAUUAAUAAUUGAUUUUAUGGUUAGAUUAAUGAAAGUUAUAUUUUAUACUUAGAUAGACCAACUUAUUUUUUCUAAAGAUUCUAAGAAUCAUUUCCGUAAUGACAAAUGUCAUGCCUCAAAUGUUGUAAUGCUUCUCUUUUAAUAUAUAAGGGAUGUUUAGUGAUUUUUCAGAAAAAUUAUUUUUUUCAAUCAUAGAAUGAUAUGAAACGAAAUGAUGCUCUUUUUCCAUUUUAACUGGUGAAUAUUACGAGAAAUGUACAAAAUUAUGCAUUCGUUAAACUUUUAUUUAGUAAAAUACUAAAAUGUAUUCCACCAAUAUUAGAAAGAUGAUGCUUUAUGGAUGGAUUUUGAAAAGACAAUUUUAAAUAUUUUUUGCGACAAAUUAUUUUCAAUCGGUAAAAAUGGUUUCACAACCAAAAGAAUAGUUUUCAGCAUGUUCGUGAUUAACGCAUAUAUACUCAAAAUACAGAGACGGACAAUAUUGCAUGCGGUGCUCGUAAUCAACAGUCUUAUUUGUUCACGUUGCUAUGGAAUCUCCAGUUUGGUUAGUAAAAUAUUAAAUGAGUUCACAUAUAACAAGCAUAUGUAAAUGAAGUAUGGGA
rnacentral:lncRNA from 1 species